rnacentral:lncRNA from 1 species
CCCCUUCUGAUAGGUGAUGGAGUUCUCCAGAGGGACCAAGCCCUGCUGCCUGCGGACACCCACUGUCCUCAUCUGUACCUCGGGGACCGACGGAGGGACGGCAAAGGCUGAUGCUAAUGGAGUGGAUGCUGACCAGCAGGCAGGGGAAGGGGAGCUGCGAGAUGCCCUCGGCUCCUGGAGGUCAUACAGAGCAGUGCUGGGUGGUUGGAAAAUGGCAUCAGCAAACUUUGAUUGCAGCAGCCCAGCGACUGAGCAUUUCUUCUGUCCUUGGGAUUUUGAGAUAGGGAGC